rnacentral:rRNA from 1 species
GGUUGAUCCUGCCAGUAGUCAUAUGCUUGUCCUAAAGAUUAAGCCAUGCAUGUCUAAGUAUAAACCUUUAUACGGUGAAACUGCGAAUGGCUCAUUAUAUCAGUUAUAAUUUACUUGAUGAUCACUUUACUACUUGGAUAACCGUGGUAAUUCUAGAGCUAAUACAUGCAAAGGACCCAACUCACGAAGGGUCGUAUUUAUUAGAUAAAAACCAAUGCCUUCGGGCCACUGGUGAGUCAUGAUAACUGCGCGGAUCGCAUGGCCUUGAGCCGGCGACGCUUCAUUCAAAUUU